AUGUUAAGGGUGGCAGAGGGGAAGACUUCAGCUGAUCACUAUUCAGGUACAUCUGGAUCCAGGAAUAAGAAACCGUAUGGUGUCCAACUCCUUCAAAAUGAAUUUGUUUCUUCGUGUUUUCCUGUUCUGCCUUCGGUGGUGUCAGCUUUAUUCUCAGAAAUCAUGCUGGUUCCCCAACCUGCAUACCCAUGGUGCAAAUUUCACAUCGUCACACUACCCAACCGGAGACCAAUGGAGAACCUAUUUCUGGUAACUACUUCAUAAAUUAUAAAUUAAUUUCUUGGCUUAAGGAAAUUAAAUACUGAUUUUGUUAUUGUUCAGUCACUUAGUCAUGUCUGACUCUGAGAGCCCAUGGGUUGCCGCAUGCCAAGUUUACUGUCCUUCAUUUUCUCCCAGAGUUUACUAAAACCCAUGUCCGUUGAGUUGGUGAUGCCAUCCAACCAUCUCAUCCUCUGUUGCCCCCUUCUCUUCCUGUCCUCAGUCUUUCCCAGCAUCACGAUCUUUCCCAACGAGUGCUGAUUGGCUUAGGCUAAUUUUAGGGCCCACUUCUGGAGCCAGACUGGGGUCAGUCUUACCUAAGUAGUAUGACUAAGAAUGGGGAGGGCUGACUUCUCCAAAGAAAAAUGAGACUAUUCUUUGAGAGACAUGAAGGAAAAGAUGAACAAAUGUCUACUCUUUCCAUCUGCAUGAGCCCAUCUCAAAUUGAACACAGGCUGGAAAGAAAGGGAAGAGUUCUACAUGCUGGGUGUGGCAAAACAGAGAAGGAAGAAAUAGCACCAAAAGUCCACCUUUUAAAUACCCAUUCCUAAAAUAAAUAAAUACCCAUUCCUUAGUUCUAAGCAGGAGGGUUUCUUGGUUUGAGUUAUUAAAUUUUGGGGUGGAUAUGGCUGAUAUCACAUUGAUAUUAGUGACCUUUCCUGUUUAGUCUCCAUUAAAAAUCAGAUUCCCAAGAAUAUCAAAGAGUUCACGCAUAUCUGCAUGCAGAAUAAGAAGGAUAUGUACCUUAGCAGUCCAACCUUAUGACCAGAGCUCGAUAUUCUCACAGCAUCUCCUCUCCCUGCUCCUGUCUCCCCAGACACUGUUAUAUUAAAAUAAGAGGUGCUUUUUUCAUGUUUUUUUUUUUUUAUCUUGAUCUACAUACUCAUUAUGAUUACUCAUUCAGUUAUCUCAUUUAGGGGGACUUGCCUGGUGGUCCAGUGGCUAAGACUUCACCUUCCAGUGCAGGGAGUGUGGGUUUGAUCACUGGUCAGGGGGCUAAGAUCACACAUGCCUUGUGACCAAAAAAAAAAGAGAAAGUCCCCAAACCCCCCAUUAUUGGAAGUACUAUUGUAACAAAUUCAAUAGACUUUUAAAAAGGGUCCAUAUUUUUAAAAAAACACUUUAAAAAUGAUCUUACUUAGUAGCAUAGGCAGUAAAACUCUAGCAGUCUAACAGGCACAGUUACUGCUACUGUGGUCUUAUCAUAGUUCCCAUAGUUCAUCAGUGAACUUCACACAUAUUCUUCUCGCUUUAUCAUCUAG
rnacentral:lncRNA from 1 species